AGAGGCAGGAGGUUUUGUGGACAGGGCUGGUGGAGCUCUGGCCACUUCCUCAGUAAACUAGAGACGUGAUCCCCAGGGCCAGGUCUGUCUCUGAGGUCCUACCAGCUGGGACAGGAGGAUGCAAUUCUCUCUCUAAAGUCGAGAGCUCACCACCCCGGGUGUUAGUCACUGCCGACAUCACUGCAGACACAGAGACGGCCAUUAGAGCUCACCACCUCGAGUGUUAGUCACUGCAGACAUCACUGCAGACACAGAGACGGCCAUUAGAGCUCACCACCCCGGGCGUUAGUCACUGCAGACAUCACUGCAGACACAGAGACGGCUAUUAUGCAGCCUGACGUGGUCACUCCUGGGGGCUGUAGGAUAUUUGAUCCUAAAGAGAAAACACCUUAAAUUCUCACAUCAGCCACCCCCAUGGCGACUCUUAACACCUUAAUGUAACACCUUCCAACUUUUCCUGGGCAUUUAUGUACAAAUUGUAAUAAAAUUGGGUUCUUACUGCA
rnacentral:antisense_RNA from 1 species